GUGUGCGUGGCUCAGUUGGUAGAGCGUAGUGUUUGCAACGCCAGGGUUGUGGGUUCGAUUCCCACGGGGAACA
rnacentral:tRNA from 1 species